rnacentral:rRNA from 1 species
CACGCAGGUGGCUUGGCAAGUCGGAUGUGAAAGCCCCGGGCUUAACUUGGGAAUUGCAUUCGAUACUGCCGAGCUAGAGUAUGGGAGAGGAAAGCGGAAUUCCCGGUGUAGCGGUGAAAUGCGUAGAUAUCGGGAGGAACAUCAGUGGCGAAGGCGGCUUUCUGGCCCAAUACUGACACUCAUGUGCGAAAGCGUGGGAGCAAACA